CUUCCCAUCAUCACUAGAGACCCACCAUAUGUCCUGUAUCCCACCAGGAUUCAGGGGAGUGAGCCACAGUCUCUGCACCUGAAGAGCUCAGUCCCAUGGGGCCUGUGCUGCUUCCCAACCCAGGGGGAGGCAGUAACCAAGUGGUUCCAGGGAAAGGCUCUGGAAGACCAGUAGGUGGUCCAUGGGCAGAAAUGCAGGAGAAAGCAUUCCAUGAUGAGGAUGCACAAAGGCAUGGAAGGCUUCCAGAAAUGCAAAAUGUGAAGAUGCUAAAGCAGAAGAUGUAUGUGGAGGAGGGAGGACUUUAGAGGAGGGAAGGUGGCCUCUCCUCUCAGGCUCCUGGAGAGAACCUGGCUCCAAACCCUUUAUGUGGAGAAGACUGAUUUUUUCAUCAAAUGGUUGAAAUUAAAUGCUGAAUGCAGGCAGGAGGAAACUGAGAGCUCGGACGCCCCACAGCAGUUAAAAAGGCAAGACAGAAAUGAAGACAGAGUGGGUCUGCAUCCCACCUGGGCCACCAUAGUUGUGAUCUGGGGCCUAGAGGCUGGAACAAGAGCGAGGGCCUGGCAUCCACGCCACAUCAUUCAGGGGCCUUCCAGCACCAGCACCUGAUCCAGCCCAGCAGAGCGGCUCUCCCUGAUAUUUUGGAAGCAAUCAUAUAUUUUUAAUGACCUGCAAAAUCUCCCUGUGAGAAGGGAGGGAGAGUUGAAAUUACAGCCAAGCAAUUUGCAUUGCGAAUAAGUUAUCCUGCCUCCUGCUCUCCAAGAAUAUGCAGAAAUAAAUGCCUCCUAAUGAACCCUGGGGGGCUGAGGCUUUGAUAUGAAUUCUGCUGCAGGGGUAAAGAGUUCUAGCCAGACUGAAACUCAGCGUGAAGUUGGAGCAGGAGGGCUGGGGCAGUCCCCUUCAGAGCGAGGGAAAAAGGAAAUUGGAUUAUCUUGCUAGCAGUUGGUGUUUUUCUAUCUCUUAGAACCACAGAUUAGUGCUCCCCUCCUUCAGAUGGUUGGGGAGGGUGGGGAGAGAUUCCAUUUAGCCCUAUUUCUCCAGCCGGCUGCUCACCUGCUUGUAACCCUUCCACCCUGGCCACUGUCAAGCUCCUUCUAGAUUCCCUGGACAUACAGAGACCAGGAGCUCCAAAGAUUUUGCCUUUUCCAGAACUAAAAAAGACCUAUUAAACACAGAUGGGCUUCCCUGGUGGCUCAGACAGUAAAGAAACUGCUGCAAUGUAGAAGACACAGGUUCCAUCCCUGGGUCAGGAAGAUCGCCUGGACAAGGGAAUGGCUACCCAUUCCAGUAUUCUUGCCUGGAGAAUUCCAUGGACACAGGAGCCUGGUGGGCUGCAGUCCAUGGCGUCGCAAAGAGUUGGACACAACUGAGUGACUUUCACUUUCUUUUUCAUUAAACAUAGAUAGAUGGAUGGAUAGAUAGAUAGAUGAUAAACAAUCUUUCUAUCUAAAGUCAGGUAACCUUUAGUUCUGGCUGCCAUAAG
ensembl:lncRNA